GAAAAAUAUAUAGAAAACAACUUUUAAACUAAAAUUUUAUUUGAAUACAAUCUAUAAAAGAUUGAAAAUUACAUUUAGCUAAUAAAUUGACUAAAACUAAACGUUAUUGCUUUCUAUGAUAACGUGUUCAAGGUUUGUUCAUACAAUCUUCGAGGUAAGCUGCAUCACCUCGGGAUCUUUCUCGUUUUCUUGCUUACCUCUAAUCACAGACUUGAU
rnacentral:lncRNA from 1 species